UGAUUGAUUGAUGAAUGAAUGAAUGAAUGAAUGUCAGUUCAGCUGCCAUUUCACCGCCUGGAAUUUGGGACUCGGACUGGCUUCCUGGCUCCUCAGCUUGCAGACGGCCUAUUGUGGGACUUCACCUGGUGAUCAUAGAAACAGUGGACCCACUGAGACCAAGGGCAAGGGGAGGAAAGGCCCGGGGUGGGGCUGAAGACACAGGUUCCAGGCCCAGCUCUGCUGCUCACCGAUGAGGCUUCUCCUCUGUUGAGCAGGUAGCCCCAGUUGGGAGCUGAGGUGUGUUGAUUGGGGCUCUGGGAACCAUAGCCUACCAGCUGUGGCUUGGCCAUCCCCUCUGCCAGCGCUUUCCCGCCCAUCAGCCCUUUUCCCUGGAGUCCCUCCUUCAGCCAGG